rnacentral:rRNA from 1 species
GAUGAACGCUGGCGGCGUGCCUAAUACAUGCAAGUCGAGCGAACAGACGAGGAGCUUGCUCCUUUGACGUUAGCGGCGGACGGGUGAGUAACACGUAGGUAACCUACCUAUAAGACUGGGAUAACUUCGGGAAACCGGAGCUAAUACCGGAUAAUAUUUCGAACCGCAUGGUUCGAUAGUGAAAGAUGGCUUUGCUAUCACUUAUAGAUGGACCUGCGCCGUAUUAGCUAGUUGGUAAGGUAACGGCUUACCAAGGCAACGAUACGUAGCCGACCUGAGAGGGUGAACGGCCACACUGGAACUGAGACACGGUCCAGACUCCUACGGGAGGCAGCAGUAGGGAAUCUUCCGCAAUGGGCGAAAGCCUGACGGAGCAACGCCGCGUGAGUGAUGAAGGUCUUCGGAUCGUAAAACUCUGUUAUUAGGGAAGAACAAACGUGUAAGUAACUGUGCACGUCUUGACGGUACCUAAUCAGAAAGCCACGGCUAACUACGUG